rnacentral:tRNA from 1 species
CUCUCCGUAGUGUAAUGGAUAACACGCAAGAUUCCGGUUCUUGAAAUGGGCGUUCAAUUCGUCCCGGGGAGGC